ACACCGAAGAACUGACACCGAAGAACCAAAUUUUUUCGGUUCGGUUUUUCGGUAUUU
rnacentral:pre_miRNA from 1 species